AGACUGCAGGCUGCAACUCGCCUGCACGAAGUCGGAAUUGCUAGUAAUCGUAGGUCAGCGUACUACGGUGAAUACCGGUUCCCGGGCCUUGUACACACCGCCCGUCAAACCAUGAGAGUUGGCAACACCCGAAGUCGGUAGUCUAACCGCAAGGAGGACGCCGCCGAAGGUGGGGUUGAUGAUUAGGGUUAAGUCGUAACAAGGUAAC
rnacentral:rRNA from 1 species